rnacentral:misc_RNA from 1 species
GAUGAAGAACGUAGCGAAAUGCGAUACUUGGUGUGAAUUGCAGAAUCCCGUGAACCAUCGAGUCUUUGAACGCAAGUUGCGCCCGAAGCCAUUAGGCCGAGGGCACGCCUGCCUGGGCGUCACACGUCGUUGCCCCCCCAUCUACUCCUUCGGGAGUGCGGGGGGCGGAUGAUGGCCUCCCGUGCGCCUCGUCGCGCGGUUGGCAUAAAUGCCAAGUCCUCGGCGACGCACGCCACGACAAUCGGUGGUUGCGAAACCUCGGUUGCCCGUCGUGUGCGGUCGUCGCGCAUCGAGGGCUCGAAAAAAUUGCCGGGCUCCGGCUCGGCUUUCAACGCGACCCCAGGUCAGGCGGGGUUACCCGCUGAAUUUAAGCAUAUCAAUAAGCGGAGGA